UACGUAGGGGGCUAGCGUUGUCCGGAAUCAUUGGGCGUAAAGCGCGUGUAGGCGGUUCGGUAAGUCCGCUGUGAAAGCCCGGGGCUCAACCCUGGGAGGCGGGUGGAUACUGCUGAGCUCGAGUCCGGAAGAGGCGAGUGGAAUUCCUGGUGUAGCGGUGAAAUGCGCAGAUAUCAGGAGGAACACCAAUGGCGAAGGCAGCUCGCUGGGACGGUACUGACGCUGGAGACGCGAAAGCGUGGGGAGCAAACAGG
rnacentral:rRNA from 1 species